rnacentral:rRNA from 1 species
GACGAACGCGGCGGCGUGCCUAAUACAUGCAAGUGGGACGCAAGGGAACACACUGUGCUUGCACACCGUGUUUUCUUGAGUCGCGAACGGGUGAGUAACGCGUAGGUAACCUGCCUAUUAGCGGGGGAUAACUAUUGGAAACGAUAGCUAAUACCGCAUAAUAUUAAUUAUUGCAUGAUAAUUGAUUGAAAGAUGCAAGCGCAUCACUAGUAGAUGGACCUGCGUUGUAUUAGCUAGUUGGUAAGGUAAGAGCUUACCAAGGCGACGAUACAUAGCCGACCUGAGAGGGUGAUCGGCCACACUGGGACUGAGACACGGCCCAGACUCCUACGGGAGGCAGCAGUAGGGAAUCUUCGGCAAUGGACGAAAGUCUGACCGAGCAACGCCGCGUGAGUGAAGAAGGUUUUCGGAUCGUAAAGCUCUGUUGUAAGUCAAGAACGUGUGUGAGAGUGGAAAGUUCACACAGUGACGGAGCUACCAGAAA